rnacentral:snRNA from 1 species
CAACUCAAUGGUCUAUGGCUAGUGUCACAAAGGUGGUUUUUCCAGCGCAAGGUUUAUCUAUUGUAGCCAGGAUGUCCUGAUCCCUGUCAUUUUCCCAAACGUGGAAAACUUGAUUGGAUAAAUUGUGGUAGUGGGGGGCUGUAUUCCUUUCCCUUG